ACGGAAGGCGGCAGUGGGGGAUAUUGCGCAAUGGGGGCAACCCUGACGCAGCAACGCCGCGUGCAGGAAGAAGGUCUUCGGAUUGUAAACUGUUGUCGCAAGGGAAGAAGACAGUGACGGUACCUUGUGAGAAAGUCACGGCUAACUACGUGCCAGCAGCCGCGGUAAUACGUAGGUGACAAGCGUUGUCCGGAUUUACUGGGUGUAAAGGGCGCGUAGGCGGGAUAGCAAGUCAGUCGUGAAAUACCGAGGCUCAACCACGGGGCUGCGAUUGAAACUGUUACUCUUGAGUAUCGGAGAGGAAAGCGGAAUUCCUAGUGUAGCGGUGAAAUGCGUAGAUAUUAGGAAGAACACCAGUGGCGAAGGCGGCUUUCUGGACUGUAACUGACGCUGAGGCUCGAAAGCGUGGGGAGCAAACAGGAUUAGAUACCCUGGUA
rnacentral:rRNA from 1 species